GACGCAGCAUGCCGCGUGAUGAGAAGGCCUUCGGGUUGUAAAGUUCUUUCGGUGACGAGGAAGGUUGUUGUGUUAAUAGCACAACAAAUUGACGUUAAUCACAGAAGAAGCACCGGCUAACUCCGUGCCAGCAGCCGCGGUAAUACGGAGGGUGCGAGCGUUAAUCGGAAUAACUGGGCGUAAAGGGCACGCAGGCGGCUAUUUAAGUGAGGUGUGAAAUCCCCGGGCUUAACCUGGGAAUUGCAUUUCAGACUGGGUAGCUAGAGUACUUUAGGGAGGGGUAGAAUUCCACGUGUAGCGGUGAAAUGCGUAGAGAUGUGGAGGAAUACCGAAGGCGAAGGCAGCCCCUUGGGAAUGUACUGACGCUCAUGUGCGAAAGCGUGGGGAGCAAACA
rnacentral:rRNA from 1 species